AUUACUUUAUAUUGAUUUUAUUAGAAUAUUUGAUUCUUUAAGACCCUUACGAGGAAUACAAAAAUAUCGAAAGUUGUAAAAAAGAAAGUCGUUCAAAAUUAUGCGUCAAUUUACAGAUUAACAGAGCAACUUGUAAUUACUUAAUUGACAUUCAUUACCGGUAGAGAGGUCGUGCUAUCACAUCCAUAAAUGCAUCGAGUGUAGUCCAAUCGCCAUAGUGUUUUCAUCUAACACUCACCCUUUUUCUCUUUUUACAAACGUUACACAUAUUUUUGUUAAAAAAAUGUUAGCACUUUUUACGGAAUUCCUUUGACAACAAUUUCCUUGAAACAUUUUUUAAGGGAACGAAAAAGGAUUCGAAUUUACAUUAAAUUAAUAAUUUUGUGCUUUAUGGACUUUGGGAGAGACUUUAUCAUGUGACCAAUGUGGACAAGAAUGUGCUGGAAUUUGUGGUACACGACAAUUUCGAGCCUGUUGCUUCAACAAUAUGA
rnacentral:lncRNA from 1 species